rnacentral:rRNA from 1 species
GACGAACGCUGGCGGCGUGCUUAACACAUGCAAGUCGAACGGAAAGGCCCUGCUUUUGUGGGGUGCUCGAGUGGCGAACGGGUGAGUAACACGUGAGUAACCUGCCCUUGACUUUGGGAUAACUUCAGGAAACUGGGGCUAAUACCGGAUAGGAGCUCCUGCUGCAUGGUGGGGGUUGGAUAGUUUCGGCGGUUGGGGAUGGACUCGCGGCUUAUCAGCUUGUUGGUGGGGUAGUGGCUUACCAAGGCUUUGACGGGUAGCCGGCCUGAGAGGGUGACCGGCCACAAUGGGACUGAGAGACGGCCCAGACUCCUACGGGAGGCAGCAGUGGGGAAUAUUGCACAAUGGGCGGAAGCCUGAUGCAGCAACGCCGCGGGCGGGAUGACGGCCUUCGGGUUGUAAACCGCUUUCGCCUGUGACGAAGCGUGAGUGACGGUAAUGGGUAAAGAAGCACCGGCUAACUACGUG